UGCUGGAGACACUCUCCCUCUCCAGCAUGUGGAUCCAGGGAGUGAAACCGAGGUCGUCAGGCUUAGCGGCAAGCUCCUUCACUCACUGAGUCAGCUCACUAGCCUCUGAGCCAUGAUUCUACGGGCAGAUAGCCAUCCUGCAUUGCACAGCAGCAGGACUCACUGAAUUCCACCGAGUGAGUCAGCACACAGCUCCUGGACUCAAGAGUGUACCUAAGGCCACAGGCGCUGCGGAGAAAGGAACGCUUCCCCCAGGCUCUCAGGCAGCGCUGCUGCUCACUCUCAAUCGUGGAUACGAAGUAGGAUAAUUUGUCAACAGCAGAUCCAAAGAUAGCCUCACUGGGAGUCCAGUUAGGAGCCGGAGACCUUCUUUGCCCAUUCACACUCUGUUAGCUGACCUAGGAAUGAUGGGCUCAAAGCAAAGACAAGAAGAAAGUCACCCGUGGAAGGAAACUGCCCAGUCAGUGGGAAGCCACAGGCGGAGACAACGACUUGACCUUUCAGAGAACGUGCCUGGGCUGUCCCUGGGAGGCUAAGAGAAUCUGAGGGUGACUUCAUCCAAGCACACUGUUGCAUGUGUCCUCUGAUUCCUUCAGGUAUACAUUAGAUAGGAUGUCAAAGGGCAAAAGCCAGGAUUUAGGCUUCAGAGGGAUAAUUCUGCACCUGGAAGUGAUCCCGAGAGUGGACUUGAGUUGCUUCCUUUACUCUAUCUUGGAGUCAGCUGCCUGUGAGAACUGCAAAUCCUUCUGUGCAGCAGCCACUCCCGGCUGUUAACAGAGUCUGCAGACAAAGAGACUCACCUCAGGCUCAGAGACAGCAGCUGCUCCUUGGACUUCAGCAGUUCCCCAACUUGAAAACUGGCAGAGCCCAGGAAGCGCCUCUGAAAAGAACGAAGAAUGUUUCCCAUCAACUUUUGGGAUUCCGUCUAAGUUUCUGUCUCCACACCAAUUACACAGAGUUAGUUAAGAAAAGAACAAACUGCUGACUCAAUUAGCCCGCAAUGUUUUACUGAUAGAAAGACAAUGCUGAAAUAUCAGCUUAGUUAUAGAUAGACAUUGACAGCCUGGGAAAUAACAAGAAGUAAAACACAGCAGUCAGGACUUUCCCACUAGCUAUAAUUUCUUCCCCACAAGAAAACCAGGGUCCAAGAAGAUGCUAAACUUUCAAUAUUCACUAACAUAUCCACUUACUGGAGUUCCUCAGAUCACUGGCAACAGCAAUUCUGUGUUCAAGAUAUGAGAAAGUCUGCCUCUUGGAGCUAUUUUUACAUGGGUCUCUGUGAGUUAUAAAUAGAAAGACAACAUUUCUCCCCAUCACAGAAGCAUUUGCUUCCUUUUGUUUUUUUUUUUUCCUUUUUUCUAGCCUGGGACAACUUCAUCCCAAACACACAAAAUAAAUAAUACUUCAGCUAUGUUUUCCAAAGUUAGUUUUUAAACGUCUCACAACUGGGUGUAAUGUUUACCAAUAAACAUUGGCUAUCUAUCCUUCUCAGCUCAAUGAAAAGGACUUCAAACUGUAUACUGUUCUUUUUUUCUAUCUCAGGAUUGCAAUCCUUUGACUGUUUCUGGCUACUUCUGAUUUGAAUGUGACAACACUAUGACAUAAAUGCCCAAAAGAGUAUUUCUCACAUUUCCUCCAGGGUAGUGACUAAACAUAAAAGUGUCAAAACCAUAUAGUCACCCAUGCCAUCACUGAUGGCAGAGUGUGAUGCCCCAUGAGAGGCCAACACCACGUCUGCUGGCAGACUGUGCUUCAAGGAGAAGCUGGGGUAAAGUGCCUGAGACUGUGGAAAACAGAAAACCAUUCCACACACCGAAAGAGGAAGUAUACAUACUGAUUUAUUGCUGAAAGAGAAAAGCAUCUGGUCAGAAUGUUUUUUCUAAUGCAUAUGUGCAUCGCCUGCAGUUUGUACAUUUGGGUGAGCAAGAGAGCCAGGAUGAGGAGUCAGACGCCCUGGAAUUAGGGUUACAAACAAUUGUGAGCUACCAUGUGCGUACUGAGAAGUAAAAUCGGGUCCUUUGCAAGAGAGCAAGUGUUCUUAACUGUUGAGCCAUCCCUCCAGCUCCAGGUCAAAUAGUUGAACCUCUUUUCAAAACUCUAUUGUAGAAGAACGGGUUCAGAAGGCUUUAAAGGCAGACAUCUGAAAGCACAACCUGGUUUUGAAGUUAUAUACAACUCUAUUAAUAUUAUCCCCAACUAGAUAACUUGGAUUUCCAAAUGUUGUAAUAUGCACCCUGUCGCCAAGGACUGGGAGUUCUGAACUCAUAUUGUUAGAUGGGUCAAACCAGAGGACGUGAGGAGCAACGGGAUAAGCAUGGACGGAAACUGAACAUCAGGGCCCUUACCGACAGAAUCCAGACCCCGAGUGACUGGUGAGCAAGUGCAGAGGACUGAGCCCACUGAGACACUCAGACUCCCUCCUCAGAGAGUCUCUGGAGCAGACACCAGAAGAAGGCACUCACCGUCUCACACACUCUUUGUGAGUCUCUCCUUACCUUUCCCUCCAAAUAUAUUGACACCCACCUGAUAUAUUUUAAAUGGCAUUUCUUAAACCCUUGCAAAUAACUGAGAUUUAAAGUUCUACAAAGAUGAUUGUUUUCUGUUAUAUUCUGCUGAGCACACACUAAAGAAGGGAACCAACGAGAGACUGACAGACCCCAGAUUUCAAGUAAGUGACUCAUGUAUUUAUUUUUGUGAUAAGAUCUAUAUCAAUAGCCUGGAAAUCACUACAUAUCACAGGGUAGCCUCCUGUCUCAGGAUCCCUAGUCCUGAACUACAGGCAUAUACCACCACAUCCAGGUCAACCACAUUCUUUUAAUGCAAGGGGAAGACACAUUCAUUUUGCAGUUACUCAUAAAUCACCGUAACUCACAAAAAUGAGAACCAUAGUGUACAAAUAAUACAGCAAAAUACCAGUCUAGCAAUCUGCAAUUUAAAUCUUUGUAAAAGUAUAUUUUGCUACUUUUUAAAAUCAUGUGUAUGUGUGUCUUGGGGCUUAGGUGUACGCCUGUGAGUGCAGGCUUCCCUGGGGUGUCGAAUUUCCCUGGAUUUGGAGCUACAAACAGUUGUGAGCUGCCACGUGGAUGCUGGAAGUCAAGCCUGGGGCUCCCAAAGGAAGGGCAGCUGCGCUUAACUACUGAGCCAUCUCUAGACCGCACUACAAACUUAAAAACCAUGUCUGUUUCACCUUCCCUUUCAGUGACAAUCAGGGGUUUUAACGUAAAUCCCCCAUCACAUUCUAUCCACUAUUCACGUUCCAACAACAUUCUCAACAGAUCUCGAAUUUCACAAAACGCUUGACUUUCUAAGCUUGUUUGAUGCACCCUUUAAAAUUGUGUGGGUCUGGAGGAAGAUAGAAUAAAGUAACACAUGCCUUGAUAGCAUGGUGGCCUUUUUAGCUAUAAAGUAGCAAUUGCCUCAGACUUGAAUUUUGCGACUAGAGACAGGUGGAAUGGCUAAUUUUAGGGAUGAUCUACUGACACACCAUAGGCACAGCUGCAAGUAAGAUUGGUGACCACAACAAAGGACCGUCUCUGUCUGCUGAACCAGAGCCCUUUCAGAAGCAGACCUGUAGCUGGCCAGUCUCAAAGACAAGCCCAGAGUUGUUAACAGAGCGCCAUGUGUCAUGCAUUAUGUUGUACAGUGAACUGUACAGCAUACACAGUGUGCCAGGAAUAAUGACUCCAAGGCAAGCACUCCCAUCAUAACUGUCAUCAGCCCAGGCUAGAUCUCAGCCUUGAUCUGACACUUCAGAGGUUUCCAAAAUAAGACACAUUAAAAAUUAGUAUUGGUAAAGGCCUGAUACCAUACUUGCCAAAUGAGAUGAGACGUUACUUACUUACAAAGGUUUAUUUUAUUCAAUACCUAACUUCAUAUAGGAACUUCAAUUUGUAUGAAAUGAACUAUCAAAAGGCCCAAUUCUGUUAUGUUGUAUUUAUUCACAUUCUAUUUAAAAUACAACUAUAUCACUUUCUUCUUUUCAUUUCCUCCCUCCAGACCCUCCCAUGUCCCUUCCUUCGAAUCCUCUCCAUGCCACCCAACUCUUAAACUGAUAGCUUAUUUUUCUUCAUAAUUGUCCAUAUGUGUGAAUGUAUGUAUCUACACACACACACACACACACACACACACACACAAGCACACUGGAAUACCCAUGGAUAGGGGAAAAGCCACACACCAUGCUAAUGUAAAACCACAGUGAUACAGAGUUGUAUUUGUCCAUAUGUGUAACACCAAAUAAGAGAAUAUAUAUAAAAAAGUUCAUAAAUUU